AGGGUAACCCUCCCCCGCCAGAACCUUUGGCAGCAACGUCAUCCUUUGGUUGGACCACCCUGCCCCUGAUUCCUUGACCACUUGAUGUCGAAGUAUCGGUGCUUAUGCUCAUCAUUGGUUUAAAAGGAUAUGAGAAUUGGAAUGGCCCGUGCUCAAGCCUUGAAAGGUGUCAACAAAGAAGGAAAGCCUGAUGUCACUAUUAAAUUCAAGAGCAAGGAGUCUGUGGAUACAACAGAUGCAUCUGGAAUCUUAUCUAUGAACGUUGGCGAAAAAAUGUGUUUUAUGUUUUUGUUCUGAAAUCAGAGAUCAGGGGGUUGGUGGGUGCCAAGGAUAUGUCUGGAUUGAUCUGUGCUAACAAUUGCCAAGAUCGUGUCUUCUGAAGGUGGUCGAUGAGGUCAUGGAUGAGGAAGCUGAUAUUGCUAAUUGCCCUGGCAGCAUUGUAUUUAAGAUGGAGAAAGAUGAGGACCUGGAUGCUGCCAUAUAUUCAAGCUCCUUUGGGAACACCUUCUCUGGAUCAGACAAUAGUCAGCCGAAUCAGGAUCAUGGAGACAUGGUCACCCUUUGUUCCUUCAAAUGUUGACCCUGCUGCUAUGGAUGGACUUAACGGGGUUUUUAAUGUCGAUGACAAUUGUGGAUAGAUAAUCAAGUAGCCGAAGAUGGGUAUCAGUACUUUCAGAAAGUCAGCCAAGCAACAGAGAAACUUCAAAGGAUGAUAAAGACACAAGCUGAGACCCAUUCUGGAGAUGCGAGCAGUGCCCCUGAGGUCCCAUUGCCAAAACCAGUUCCAGGAACAGAAAUAGUGUCUAUGCCACAGCAACCGGUUCUGAAGCCCUGCUACAUAGGAAAAAAAAUAGAGGGAAAAAGCCCAGUAAGAAACGAUGCCAGAGUGAGAGGCUUAAGAAAUGAAGAUUGUCCAGCAAAACAACUUAACAAACUCAAGUAUGUGUUCGACAUGUAUCCUAUCUAGCUAAUUUUGAUCACAUUUUGGUGGUUUGAUUCCUCUUUCACAGUCAUAUCAUGAUAAGUAUAAGAUUAAACUUGUACAUCUGGCUGUUGGUGGUCUAAAGCCUUUCUCUCAAGUUGACAACUGUUGUUCACAGUCAUGCCUGAAAAAUGUAACUUGGACCGGGCUAAUUGAUCAGUCUGAAUUGAUGAACUAAGUGAUGGCAAUUACUGUUGUC